rnacentral:misc_RNA from 1 species
UCUGCGCCCCGGCCUGAGUGGAGCUCUUUUUAUUUUUUGCGUUGGGAGAGGAUUGGGAAAAUAAAAAAGCGAGAACGGAGGACGGAUAAAGGU